UUACUCUUCCGGAUGCUUCCAAGAUGAUUCUAUGUUCUGUAAAUUAAAGGUAACUAUUACAUCAGUCAAGCUGACUCUGAAAACACACCUAGAGAGCAUUCUGGGAAAUAGCCUAGGAACCAAUUUCACUCUCUUGGUGUCCUUUCCCCCUUUACUCUCAACUGUAAUAACUUAGGGAGCAGCAGGUUUCCCAUUCUGAGCUCCUUGCCUCCCACUCAUCCUCAAUCAGCCUACAAUACUGCUAUCUUCAAAGUGCUAUUCCUCCUUGUGAUGGUAAGCACCCUUGAUUGGUGUUGUAAACUAUGAAACUACACUGAUCAAACAGCAGAUGAGAAAAGGAGGCACAUACCAGCUUCCUGCAUGCAACCUUUCUCAGCUCAUCAAGGCUGGAGUUUCUGAAGGGCUCCAGAAACCCAGAUAUUUCCUUUGAUUGUUGCUGCUAAGAUGAAAGCUAGCACACAGCAAAUUUUGGAUUCAACGCCCACAGUCCCUUCUUCCUUCACUGCAAGCAGUCUCUUUAGAAGUAGUCAUUGUUUCCUGGCCUGAAUCUGCAAGGAUCCCCAGUGAUGACAGGAGCUUGGCAUACACUGACCCUUGCAUGGUCUGGCAGGACUACAAUGUAGAGCAAGCUCCAAAGAGGAGGGCUUUGGGUUGGAAUAUCACCAUGAAUGUGUGAGGACAAUAGCCUUUGUGUGCAGCACACAUGAUUCUGUGGAGACAAGGAAGGACAGAAUGGCUCUAAUGUUUCCUACAAACAAACAAAUUUUGCAUGGUGAAGAACACUCUCUGCUCAGCUCACUUUCUCGGCUCCCCAACCGGUUUUUAGUUUCAUGACUCCAUCCAUAUUCAGGGUGUAACUUCCCUCCUCAGUUAAAACAUUCUGGAAACAUUCUGAUAAAUAUGCUCAGAGAUAUAUCUCCUAGGGAUUUCAAAUUCUAGUCAGACAAUGCUGUUACAACAGCACAUGAUUGGCAGCUUAUAAGGAUUACCAUGCAGAGAAAGUAGCCUGGGGGGAGGGGGCAGGGGUGGCAGUAGGUUUUCCUGUGAAGGUGACAUGAAUGUAAGAAUUUCAUCAAGGGCCAGAGAACAUUUCAGGCAAACUUACAUUUCCUAUCAGAAAACAGGAAAGCAAAUAAGCCUCUCAUAGGAAAUCCAUCAUGGUUUGUUUUUGUGAGUUUUUUGUGUGAGGUGGGUGCAAGUAUGAGAGAUGGUGGAUAGGAAGUAAAGUCAAUCUUAGGCACAAUUGGGCUCUGGGCUGAUAGCAAGGCUUUUGUCAAACCAGAAGCACACAGAGCAUUGGGGAGAACAGGCUGGCUGGGUAUGCAGGUAUAGUAAAGAAAGCAGGGUGGAGAUGGCUGCAGUGGCUGAUGAUAGCCAGGUAUAGAGUAGUCACUGUAGGGAUAGGCAUCUCAGAAUAGAAUCCAAAGAGAAGGGAGUCCUUCCCAAUAUAUAUAGUCAGUGCUUUGUCAUUAUUUCCCUCAUGAUCUUGAAGACUGUGCAAGCCUUUGCAAAUUCAAAGCAAACAUGGUCAUGUCUUUGUUGCUAAUGUGUCACAAUUUUGCAUACAUCUGCAGGAAUUAUGGCUGUUUAUGUUGCUCAUACACUGCAGAGCCAUGCAUGAAGAACUAAUAUGCUGGGUAUAGUUUCUACAAUCCCCAAAGUA
rnacentral:lncRNA from 1 species